rnacentral:rRNA from 1 species
UACGUAGGGUGCGAGCGUUAAUCGGAAUUACUGGGCGUAAAGCGUGCGCAGGCGGUUCGUUGUGUCGGCGGUGAAAGCCCCGGGCUUAACCUGGGAAUGGCCGGCGAAACUGGCGAACUGGAGUGUGGCAGAGGGGGGUGGAAUUCCGCGUGUAGCAGUGAAAUGCGUAGAGAUGCGGAGGAACACCGAUGGCGAAGGCAGCCCCCUGGGCUGACACUGACGCUCAGGCACGAAAGCGUGGGGAGCAAACAGG